CCCUCCAGUCCGCUGGGUGGCGCUUUGCCCCAGCCGGUAGUGUUUGGUCGCACGGGGAGCACAGCCUUAGUGCUCUGUUAUGCCGUGUGAAGGUGACCAAGAGCUGCAGUGCUGUGCUGUGUGAUGGAGAGAACUACGUGCUUGCUGAGAGUCAACCUGGUUCUGUUGAGUUAAGCGCUGUGAGAGAGACCCUGUCACUGAUUAAACUGCUGCUGCUGCUGAGCCGCGAUCAAAACGAA